rnacentral:rRNA from 1 species
UACGUAGGGUGCGAGCGUUGUCCGGAAUUCUUGGGCGUAAAGAGCUCGUAGGCGGUGUGUCACGUCGGCCGUGAAAACCUGCAGCUUAACUGUGGGCGUGCGGUCGAUACGGGCAUGCCUGGAGUUCGGCAGGGGAGACUGGAAUUCCUGGUGUAGCGGUGAAAUGCGUAGAGAUUGGAAAGAACACCGAUGGCGAAGGCACUUUACUGGGCUAUUACUGACACUCAGAGACGAAAGCCAGGGUAGCAAAUGGG